UACGGGGGGGGCAAGCGUUGUUCGGAAUUACUGGGCGUAAAGGGUUCGUAGGUGGCCAACUAAGUCAGACGUGAAAUCCCUCAGCUUAACUGGGGAACUGCGUCUGAUACUGGUUGGCUUGAGUGCAGGAGAGGAAUGCGGAAUUCCCGGUGUAGCGGUGAAAUGCGUAGAGCUCGGGAAGAACAUCGGUGGCGAAAGCGCUCUACUGGACUGCAACUGACACUCAGGGACGAAAGCUAGGGGAGCGAAUGGG
rnacentral:rRNA from 1 species